AUGGGAACGCGAAGAACCUUACCUACUCUUGACAUCCAGAGAACUUUCCAGAGAUGGAUUGGUGCCUUCGGGAACUCUGAGACAGGUGCUGCAUGGCUGUCGUCAGCGUCGUGUUGUGAAAUGUUGGGUUAAGUCCCGCAACGAGCGCAACCCGUUAUCCUUUGUUGCCAGCGGUUAGGCCGGGAACUCAAAGGAGACUGCCAGUGAUAAACUGGAGGAAGGUGGGGAUGACGUCAAGUCAUCAUGGCCCUUACGAGUAGGGCUACACACGUGCUACAAUGGCGCAUACAAAGAGAAGCGACCUCGCGAGAGCAAGCGGACCUCAUAAAGUGCGUCGUAGUCCGGAUUGGAGUCUGCAACUCGACUCCAUGAAGUCGGAAUCGCUAGUAAUCGUAGAUCAGAAUGC
rnacentral:rRNA from 1 species